AGUGGAGUGCCUAGGUUUCAAGCAAAACAUGGCAAACCCCCAAAAAAGUGCCGGUUACCACACAUACCCAAGUGACUCUCUAGGUAUGUAGAAGUAUAUUAGUCUGUAAAUUAACAGAGAUUUUUUAAAAACCAAAACAGAACGGAACAAAACUGGCACAAGAAGGACUUCUAAGCUACUAGGAUCUUCAGAUUGUGGAGACUGAUGAGCCCUGGAAUGUUACUGGAGGGGGAAAUUAACUCUCUUUAUAUCCUGAGAGAGAUACUGGGGAUUUAAUAAGGGAGUAUUAAAAGGAAACAUUUUUUCAAUGUAACUUUAAAGAAUCUGCAGCAGGAUGAUUUUUGUGUGUUUAACUCCAAGCCAUGCCAUGGCAUGAUGUGGUAUAAGUCUUCUCCUGUCACUUCAAGCUUUAUUCAGAGCCAAACACUCCUGAUUAAACAGUUCUCCCUUUUCAGGUCUUGUCAUAGUCCAAACAUUCAAUGAUGUGCCAAAGGAUGUCUGUCUAUGUUGCUACCACUGCUGGAUCCCAUGAAUUUCCCAUGAGUUCCCCUUUGCUUCUUGAAAUGCUCAAAGGUGCUUACUAUCCCCCCCUCCCCGUUUUCCUGUUUUUAACUGCAUUGUGCCGCAACACUAAAUAGGAUUGGGGGUGGGAUGGGGAGCAGCCUGUGCUUCGUUUCCCUCCCCUCAUAAUCCAUGAAUGCACACCCCAGGCCUUAUUGUGAAUCCCCAAGGAUUCACCCCUCUUGGGAGACAUGUACAUCAUCCCAGUACAGAUGCAUGAAGAAGUUAUUUUUUGUCUCCAGCUGCUACAUAACUAACCUAUUUUCAGCAUCAAGUGCCUGUUCAUCUUUUGCUUCCACUCUUCUGUCUGUUUGGGUCUCUGAAUUUCCAAACCCUCUUUUGUAACAUAUCUAACACUGGAGAUAACAGCUCCCAUCACAGCAAAGCCAGCUGCAUAAGUUUUCUCUCAGCUGCUGGUUUCUGUGUAACCAUAACAGCCUAUGGAAAGCAUCAGCCCUCAUCCCCUCAGUAACCUUAAUUUCUCCAUCACAUUCGCAAGCCUACCAGGCUGUAGAUGCUCAGGUGCCUGAACCUGUUCUAACCCAUGAAUAACAUUAUGCAGAAAUUCAUCUAAACCUUGUUCACAAUUGAAGAAUUGCCCUUGCGUCUGAAUAAGAGUAUUUUGGGAGAAAAGAGCUCCCAAAUUCUUAAAAGAUAAACUCAGCUGUUUCUUCUUGUCUCCUUUCUUCCCAAGUCCUCCAAUUGCCUCAGGACAAUGUCUGUCUUAUGUUCCUCACAUAUUUGAUAAGUCUCAGCAUCUCCUUCAUUCUUUCUUGGACAUCACAGCUGGUGUAUGACUCUCCCAGGCACCCCAUAGUAGGCUGAGAACCACAGAGUCCCACACAACAUGGCAGCAUAGGAAGUGCCCCCGGGUUCUGUCCUGUGGGGUUUUCCCCCUCCCCAGUCUCCAUACUUGCCUCUGCUGCCAGCUCAUUUGCAGGUGCUGUUCAUGAUGCCAAAAGACAGGUGCAAGUUUCCUUGAAGUUCACAAUCUGAGAAGGAAGGCUGGAAGCCUACACAAACACCUUGGUUAAAACGAGUCUUAUUGUAACUGAGCAAAGGAGUAACUCUUCUCCAGAAUACAAUAGCCUUGUACUGCAAAGCAAGAUAACUAAGGGUGGAUAUAUCUGGCUCUUAAGAACUUGCUUGGAAAAUUGAAAAAGGUACAGAAAUACCUGUAUUAGAACAGAAACUGACAGCAGAGGGUGGGGAGGAAUGAUUGAAAGGACAAAAUACCCAGUGUGGACAAAAUGCUGUGCAAUAGCAAUGACCAUUAAUGUCUGAAGCACUGGGAAUGUACAGAAGCCAAAAGCAGAUACUGAAAAAUCAGACCUGACUCAUUUGCAAUAUGGGACCCCUCUCUGGAAGCACCCUUAGAGGAUGGUGUCUUCUUGUGGAAACGAAGCAAAACUAAACAAUUGCCGAAUGUCUGAUAGCAGCUGAUCUGCAUUUCCUCUCAUCAUACUCUGCUGGAUGCCACAAGUCGAUUGGGCUUGCACCCAACCAUUGUUUAAAUAGCAGCAUUGCCCCUUCCUUCCCUUCCCACCUGACCCAGGCUUCAGUGUGGAGCAUCCUUGCUAAGGAGUGACGAGUUUGGGAGCUUUUUAAUCUGUCAAAGGAUCAUACUAACGAAUGAUCAGACUUAGGUUGCAAACUUCUAGGGACUGCUACUUGCUUGAAGACGCCAACAGUUUGACAAAGCCUGUUUUUAAACUGUCAUGAAUCAGAAACUUUUCAGAGAUCUUUAUUCAAUGUCAACGUAAACAGAAUAUCAAGAUUAAAACGUAUUUUCUCCACAUGUAAGAUUAAGCUGGUUAGACUGUCUUAACGUGAGCAAGGAGAGAAGCUUCUCAGCAGACAUCUUCUUCCCCAGCUGAAUGUUAAACCUGAAUAUAAAGUAACACUUCCUGUUAAUGUAUUAAGGGGAAACUUAAUCUGCUCUCCUUGGCCAACAGAGCAGAAAAGAAACUUAGACUUGUUCUGUGCGUGUAGGAUUCCCCCCCCCCCCGAAAGCUUAAUUGGGAGAAGGGCUAAAUUUUGAAUAUAUUGAUUGUGAGAUCUGGUAACCUGUGACUGCAGCUCAAUGUACAGAACAAUAUAGCCUUUACAAACUUUCUGUGAAUAAGUUUAAUAUUUGCUCUCUGGUUUCCUUGUUACAGAACACUGUUGCAGCUUUCAAGUAUCUGAGGGAAACAAUGCGCUGGUUCUGUCUCCAGUGGUCACCAGGUAUAUUCCACUGGAGACACUGUUGUUCAGGCGCAAUGAGAAAAUAGCAGGAGGCGAGGCGAUCAGUUUUCAGUGGGAGGAAAGAGAGAAGAAACAGACCAGUAAUGCAGA